UGGACGGAGAGAUGGAGGGAUGGAUGAUAGAUACCUGGAUAAACAGAAAGAGAAAUGGAGGAGUGGACAGAUGGAUGGGUGGAUGGACAGACAGAUGAACAAUCGGAAGGAUGGACUGAUUGAUGACGGCUGGAUGGGCAACAGACAGGUGGACACGUAGAAGGACAGGGAGAUGAGGGAGUGGAUGCAAUCAGGAUGGUGAGGCAGAGACUGAGUGGAGAGAAUUUAUGUAGUGGUGAUUUAGCAAGAUUAAGAAGCGUGGAAGCUUGUUAAUACUCAUUGAUGGGGAGCACUGCUGAAGGGGGUCCUCCCAUGCACCCUUGAGUAGAUCGGGAGCUUGGGGUAUUUAUGGGGGCAAUUGAAGGAGUCACCCCUCGGGACACUUCACACUCCCGCAAGUGCCCAGACACACCACACCGCGGUGGUCAUCACAGUUCCAUGUGUCACCAUGGAAAAUUAGAGACAACAACUCGUCAGAGGGUGGGGAACACACAGGGAGCCUAACUAUGUCCCUAUCUCCAUUAAAGGCAAGUCACGGGGUUGGUUCCCUGGGGACACCUAGGGACCCUGGCUGCCCGCCCCCACCCUCGUCUCCUUGCAUGCUGCCGGGCUGACAGGCAGGUGGGAGAGACCUGGGAGCCUACGGGAACGGCAAGAGGCCUCAGAAGGUGUAAGAAAGCACUGCCUGGGAGAGCUUGGAGUGGGCGGCCAGCAGGGUCUGCCCAGGGGAGGAGCUGGGAAGGGGCACGGGGUGGGGUUUCCCUACCCAGCUCCUCUUCAGGCAUCGUCAGGAGCCGCUUCAGGGCCCUGAGCUGGACCUUGGGUCUGCUGGAGAAAUUCUGCAAGACCUCUGUGGAGGACACGGGGGAGCACGGGGAGGUGGGUCAGGGCGCCCGUGCCCUAGCUCAGGGUACCCACCACUGCUCAUCACAUCCACACGCCCAGGCCAUGAGGCGGACAUGGAGCACUCCCACUUGACAGCAGCAUGUCGGCCAGCUCGGUAGGCAAGACCUGCUUGUGCAUGGCCAUGGCCACGCUCGAGGACUUGAAGCCGCUGCUCACGAAGGCGAAGUGAAUCACAUCCCUGGGAGAGGAGCAGAGACCAAUUAUUAGGACAUUUUCCUGAGCCCCUAAGAGUACUGCGGACCCUCGCCCCGGGCCCACCAGCACUGGCAUUCGAGGAUGUGCGCUCAAGGGAACUGGUUGCCCCGCAACCUGUGAGAGCCGAGGCUGGAGAAAGCCCACUGGCCACGGAUACAGCCGGGUGCGUGUGACGGAGCAGAUGUGACCGAGCGCUGUGCGGCCCCGGGACGCCCCGGGGCCAUGGGCACGUGUGACCGAGCGCUGUGCGGCCCGGGACGCCCCGGGGCCGUGCGCAUAUUCAGGGGGACGGGGGCUGGAAGGUGAACCGCCGGGCCACGCACCGCACUGAGGCCCGCUCCUCGGGCUUGAUCUGAAGCAUCAUCGGCAAGAGACGCGCCAGGGCUUCCGCGUCGGGGACCCCCCUCUCCUCUAUCUGCUCCAGGGUGUGCCGCAGGCUACCCGGAGGCACGCGGAUCACCUUCCGCAGAUUCAUGGCUUCCGAAUCCUGGUGGAGGAGAGACAGCACCACUUCAUGCAGGUCCUCAACUAAAGGAAAACAGGCUGCUGACGGGGGUGGAGGGCUGUGCUGGAGGCCAGCGGAAGCCAGUGAGGAGCUGGAGGUGAGCAGGGGGCAGACGUUGAGAAAAAAGCCAGCAGACCGGCAGGGGCGGUGCUCCCUCUACAGCUGGGGUCUCAUCUCCACUCCAACUCCAGCCCGGGCCAGGCGGCGUUUGCCCAUUUAACAGAGAGAGAAACUGAGGCUUGCGGCCUGAAUUGAUGCACCUUGGGUCACAUACCGUCAGGGAUGGGACUGGCACUGGGCGCCCUGAUCCAGCGUGUCACGCAACCCCCUCAAGUGCGGAGGCUUCCGUGGGAGUGUCCGGGAGGUGCUGUGCAGAGGGAGUUGAGUCUGGGGGAUCUGGGAAGGAGAGGGCAGGGCUGGGGCCCAGCCUGUGGCCUGUGCUUCCUGGGGACCCCACACUUGGCUGUGGAGCUGGGGAGGCUCUUGGGGGUUCAGCGGGCAGUGACGCCCAGCAACCGUCUCCCUUGCAUUCUCUUCUGUGGAGGGUGUGAAGCAACACCCUCGACCUCCCAGCGUCACUGCAGCCAGGGCCACCACGGGCCGAUCCGGCCAGAGUGCUGGGGGCCGGCUUGCCUCUGCCCUCCCGUCUCCCUCCUGCCCGCGAGCUGUGCCCAGCAGGCGUGAGUGUGGAAGCCACGUGCCAAUGAUGGGCCGAAAUGGGAAAGCUGCAGGUGCACCCUGGCCCAGGGCCUGCACGAGGAAAACUGCGUGUGACUCCUGCAGGUGGAUGUAAACUAACUGAAAGAGGCAGCCCCACACGGGGCCUGGGCAUGGGAUGGCAGGGUCCAAAUCCCCGGAGGGCAGGUUUUCUCAUCCAGAAGGGGUAUCAAUGACGCCUGAAGGCUGCUAUGAAGACCAGACACGACUGGUCAUUCUCAUCCCCACAGAGCCUGGGGGCCCGUGAGAAGUGCUAAGUGCCGGAGACGGGGUGCAGCUCGAGGUGGGGUGCUCUGUGCAGCUAUGUGGAGGGCCACCCCAGGGUGAGGGGGAUGCGGGUGGGAAGCAGGGCAAGGACAACCCCCUCCCCACAAUGGGGGAGAAGCACACCAGGCAUCCAGGGUGGGCAGGGCCUGGCUCCCGGGGCCGUGAGGCGUGGGGGGUGCAGAGGGCAGCUCACAUCCAGGAAGGAGCAGCAGGCCAUGUCCAGGAGGAUGCAGCCCACGGACCAGAUAUCGGAUUUCUGGCUGAAGGAGAAUUUGAGGGCCUCGGGAGCCAUCCAGGACUUCUGGAAGGGGUCUGUGGG